CGAACCUCGGUGGGAGAGCCCUGACGGGCAGCUCGCCGACCACACGACGUCAGGCGCCGAAGGAGCAAACCCUCCCCGGGAAACUCUCAGGCACCCGUACCGCCGAGGUGAG
rnacentral:ncRNA from 2 species